AAGGGCACCACAAGAACGCGUGGAGCAUGUGGCUUAAUUUGACUCAACGCGGGAAAUCUUACCGGGUCCGGACACACUGAGGAUUGACAGGUAUUAUUGUAUCUGCUUAUUAUGCAGAUACAUGUUAAAUAUGCUAGUCCUUUCAUGAUUAUGUGAUAGGUGGUGCAUGGCCGUUCUUAGUUCGUGGAGUGAUCUGUCUGCUUAAUUGCGUUUCACUAAGGGCCUAUAAAUUUACGUAUGUUGCGGCGCUUUGACCCCUCUUAACUGAGCGCGUGUCUUUGUUUGCUUAGCGCAUACAAUUAGGUCCUGAAAGCAACGAACGUGACCGCAACCUCUUGUUGCCUUUAUACCAAACACAUAGUUCUAUCCUUUUACAGGAUUAGGCUUUGUGCAAAAAGGCCUUUUAAACUAGAGGGACCGCUGUUACUUUCUUAAACCAGAGGAAGGUUGCGGCAAUAACAGGUCUGUGAUGCCCUUAGAUGUUCCGGGCUGCACACGUGCUACAAUGAUUAUUGCAGUGAGCAUCUCAUUUAUACACACCGCAUGCGCGAGUCUAUUUAUUCACCUUUUGUGUGCUUUAAAUAUGUAUCUCUGCGCGCGGUAAAGCCUGCUUCGAAAGUAAGUGGGUAAUCAAUUAGAAGUAAUGAUUUCCUUAUAUAGCACACAUAUAUACGGCAUCUUUACCCGGCUUACCUUGUUGUAAGUUUCUUGUGCGUAUUGAUGUUUUUUCCGUAUGUGCGAUUGUCAAUUCAUGGUGGGGACAGACCAUUGUUAAUUGUUGGUCUCGGUCUUAACUAGGAAUGCCUUGUACGGGUCUUUGGUUCAACAAACCACCCGGAAUACGUCCCUGCCCUUUGUACACACCGCCCGUCGCUCUUACCGAUGGACUUCUCUGUGAGUUUGAGGGACUGGGAACGCAUAUCUUUAUAUGCACACCUAUGGAAACUUAAACGAACAGUGUGGUCUAAAGGAAAGAGAAGUCGUAACAAGGCAUCGGUAGGUGAACCUGCAGAAGGAUCA
rnacentral:rRNA from 2 species